rnacentral:lncRNA from 14 species
UCUCUGCUGCAGGCAUGGGCGGCUGGAGGGGAAGUGUGCUGCUGGAUACUUCUGCCUUGCUGGGAGCUCCCAGUCCACUCCCCAGGGCCACAGCUUCUCCUGGCGCUUUCUGACUGGGUGCCACUGGGGUCAGGAGUGUGCAGGGCUGUGUCCUGCAGGUUUCUACUGCCUGGAGGGAUCCCAGGUACCAACACCGUGUCCUGCGAAUACCAUUAGAGAUGUUCCAGGAGCUGUGAAGAGAGAAGACUGCCUCCC